UACGUAGGGGGCAAGCGUUGUCCGGAAUCAUUGGGCGUAAAGCGCGCGUAGGCGGCCCGGUAAGUCCGCUGUAAAAGUCCAGGGCUCAACCCUGGAAAGCCGGUGGAUACUGUCGGGCUAGAGUCCGGAAGAGGCGAGUGGAAUUCCUGGUGUAGCGGUGAAAUGCGUAGAUAUCAGGAGGAACACCUGCGGUGUAGACGGCUUACUGGACCAUAACUGACGCUGAGGCACGAAAGCGUGGGUAGCAAACAGG
rnacentral:rRNA from 1 species